ensembl:lncRNA
GAUUCAUCAUAGCACGAAACUUCGCAAGUUACACCCACUCCCUCGCCGGCAGCGGGGAAGGCUACUGCUUCCUGAUUUCAGUUACUGGAAGUUGGAGAGAUGGAACGGGAGUCGGGAGUGUGCGCCUCGUUGAUCCGCGGGUAGAACCACUGUGGACUGAAACCCACCUUUCCAGAUCUGAAAGGAAGACCGAGGAAAAGGAAGGGAGCAUCAGUCCCCAAGACUAUGAUGUUCUGAAUUCCAGUCCCUCACUCUUGACUUGAACAGCGCCUUUCCGAUGGCACCUUUGGAGAUCCUGACCAAGGCACUUCUGUUUGGCCUGGGGUAAGUAUGGAGUUUGCAGAAUAAGCAUUUGACCUCCACGACCUUCACAUCUUUAUUGUUUUGGAGUGUUGCACAGACACAACGGAAAGUUUGGUGUUGGUGACUGGCUCUGGGGGAUGGAGGUCACUGUUCUCCUCACCUGGCAUUAGGCUUUGAAAUGUGUGACUGCUUCACAUUCUCAGGGCACAGGCUACUGCUGUGUUGUCCGGAGACAUUAGAGGUUCCUACCUCUGAGCUCCCUGCUUCCCUUUUGGCCUGCUUAUCUGGUGGCAGGAAAGGGGAAGAAAGAACAGAUUUGACAGUACUGGGGGAAACCCAGUGUUCCGAUGUGUGCGCUGUAGGAUCAUGUUAAAUGAGAGAGGCUCAGCCCUCUUCUUCCUGAAGAAUGACCUUUUGUGGGGGCGUCGCUGCUGUGGUCAGACUGGACAGUGUCAUUUUGUGAUCCGUCUGGGGCUUAACCAGAAAGGAUCUGGGACUAAAACAUGCCUGAGUCACUUAGAGGAGGAAGGCUUCAGAAAGAUAACUUUCUUCCUUGGAAGUCCAACAGAAAGGGUCACACAUGCCUCCAUUUCCCCUCUGUGAUUGGGGCCAAUGGUGUCGCUCUAGUUCCCAUGCGUCUUUAUUGGGAGAGAACGAUCAUCACCAAGUGGUACUUUUGAGCGGAUGGAGCAGUGGCUGAGCAGAUAGAGAAGAACAUCUGCUAUUCUUCCAGAGGACGUGGGUUCAAUUCCCUGCACUCAUGUGGUAGCUCACAGAUGUCCAUAACAGAGUUCCAAGGGAUCCGAGGCCCUCUUCUGGCCUCUGCAGACAUCUGGCACACCCAGUGUAUACGAACAUCCAGGGAAAACACUCAUACACACAAAACAAACAUCUUUUUUUUUUUUUAAAAAAGGAACUUUUGAGCAAUGUGAGUCGCUGUGUUGUUCUUCUCAGGUUUGCCUGCUGCUCACUAACUUACCCAAGCCUGGGGGAUGGCACAGCAUAUAUUCAUUUUUUUUUUAUAUAAUGUUAAUUUAAGCAGUUUUUGCUAAGAUGGCUGGUGGGUGCCAGGCUUGGAACAAAAUAGGACCCAAAAUGGCAGCUGCUUCCUGAGGCCUGACUGACCCCUGCAGCUUCUAAGAUUUCCCACCAGCAUUCUGGGGCCUGCCCUGGUGGCUCCUGCUACAACCUGUUCUUCCUGUAUUGCUGGUUGCUCCUCCCCUGCCAAGAUCCAGAGCCAGCCCCAGCCCCUCCCCUCCGAGAGGAGGGGAGAAAGCUCCUUGGGGGUUUUCCUCACGCCCGUGUGACCCUAAUU